GGGAAAUCAUAGUUGCGUGCAUUCGCAAGACGUUGGAAUUGAAUGCACUAACACAGCUUCAAAUGUGUCGGUGAGAUUACAAGGGCCUUCAAGU